rnacentral:rRNA from 1 species
CCUACGGGAGGCAGCAGUGGGGAAUAUUGGUCAAUGGGCGCAAGCCUGAUCCAGCAACGCCGCGUGAAGGAAGAAGGCUUUCUGGUCGUAAACUUCUUUUAUCAGGGACGAAACAAAUGACGGUACCUGACUAAGAAGCCCCGGCUAACUACGUGCCAGCAGCCGCGGUAAUACGUAGGGGGCAUGCGUUAUCCGGAUUUACUGGGUGUAAAGGGGGUGUAGGCGGCAGUGUAAGCCAGAUGUGAAAGCCUCGGGCUUAACCCGAGGAUUGCAGUUGGAACUAUAGUGCUAGAGUACAGGAGAGGAAUGCGGAAGGCGUAGUGUAGCGGUGAAAUGCGUAGAUAUUAGGAAGAACACCAGUGGCGAAGGCGGCUUUCUGGACUGAAACUGACGCUGAGGCACGAAAGCGUGGGGAGCGAACAGGAUUAGAUACCCCGGUAGUC